AUGAUAUUGUCUCUGAAUUUUCAGGUAGCAAUUCUUCAGAUUGCAAUUAGCAGCAGCAACAACAACACGGGCAGAAGAGCAGCAGCAGCAACACGGGCAGAAGAGCAGCAGCAGCAACACGGUCAGUUGGAUCAGCAACACGGUCACGGGCAGAGGAGCAGCAGCAUCAACACGGGCAGAGCAGCAGUAGCAGCAGCUCCAUCGGCGACAGGGGAGAAGCAGAGGAGAAACAGCCGUGCGGGCACGCGGGUAGAGGAGAAGGAGGAGCACGGCGGCGCGUGGGAGCUCGAAGAGGACUCGCGGGAGAUAGAGGAGGAUGCGCGCGAGCUCCUAUCCACCGGAUCGUGGAGGCUGGUUCCGGCGAUGCCCGUAGGGGAUCACGGCGGGAGGGAUCGCGGUGGCGCACGGGAGGCAGCUCAAGGUGGACUCGCGGGAGCUCGAGGACGAUGA
rnacentral:rRNA from 1 species